rnacentral:tmRNA from 1 species
GGGGGCGACAUGGUUUCGACGUGGGUCGCGAAACCGAAGGGGCAUGUCGAGGAGCAGUCACCUCGUAAAUCCAUCUGCAACCUAUAUAGUUGCCAACGACGACAACUACGCACUCGCCGCUUAAUACCCGGUAGGGUGCCGUCCGACUGAAGCCGUGCUUGUGCGUUCAGAUUUCGGGCGUCAUAUCUCACAAGAUCGCGACGCGGCACGUCCGGGGCCAACUCGCUAAAACCUUACGGACUCGCUGUGCGUCUUCCCUGCCUGUCGGGUAGCGCCCGGCUAAAACAAUAGACCGGAUAAACAUGUAGAACCGACGGCAGAGGGCUUGCGGACGCGGGUUCGAUUCCCGCCGCCUCCACCA